GACGUAGGAGGCGAGCGUUGUCCGGAUUCAUUGGGCGUAAAGAGCGCGCAGGCGGCUUGGUAAGUCGGAUGUGAAAACCCGAGGCUCAACCUCGGGCGUGCAUCCGAUACUGCUCGGCUAGAGGUAGGUAGGGGAGAUCGGAAUUCCUGGUGUAGCGGUGAAAUGCGCAGAUAUCAGGAGGAACACCGAUUGCGAAGGCAGCUCGCUGGAACGUUACUGACGCUGAGACGCGAAAGCGUGGGGAGCAAACAGG
rnacentral:rRNA from 1 species